UCGAGCGGACAGAUCGGGAGCUUGCUCCCUGAUGUUAGCGGCGGACGGGUGAGUAACACGUGGGUAACCUGCCUGUAAGACUGGGAUAACUCCGGGAAACCGGGGCUAAUACCGGAUGGUUGUUUGAACCGCAUGGUUCAGACAUAAAAGGUGGCUUCGGCUACCACUUACAGAUGGACCCGCGGCGCAUUAGCUAGUUGGUGAGGUAACGGCUCACCAAGGCGACGAUGCGUAGCCGACCUGAGAGGGUGAUCGGCCACACUGGGACUGAGACACGGCCCAGACUCCUACGGGAGGCAGCAGUAGGGAAUCUUCCGCAAUGGACGAAAGUCUGACGGAGCAACGCCGCGUGAGUGAUGAAGGUUUUCGGAUCGUAAAGCUCUGUUGUUAGGGAAGAACAAGUGCCGUUCAAAUAGGGCGGCACCUUGACGGUACCUAACCAGAAAGCCACGGCUAACUACGUGCCAGCAGCCGCGGUAAUACGUAGGUGGCAAGCGUUGUCCGGAAUUAUUGGGCGUAAAGGGCUCGCAGGCGGUUUCUUAAGUCUGAUGUGAAAGCCCCCGGCUCAACCGGGGAGGGUCAUUGGAAACUGGGGAACUUGAGUGCAGAAGAGGAGAGUGGAAUUCCACGUGUAGCGGUGAAAUGCGUAGAGAUGUGGAGGAACACCAGUGGCGAAGGCGACUCUCUGGUCUGUAACUGACGCUGAGGAGCGAAAGCGUGGGGAGCGAACAGGAUUAGAUACCCUGGUAGUCCACGCCGUAAACGAUGAGUGCUAAGUGUUUAGGGGGUUUCCGCCCCUUAGUGCUGCAGCUAACGCAUUAAGCACUCCGCCUGGGGAGUACGGUCGCAAGACUGAAACUCAAAGGAAUUGACGGGGGCCCGCACAAGCGGUGGAGCAUGUGGUUUAAUUCGAAGCAACGCGAAGAACCUUACCAGGUCUUGACAUCCUCUGACAAUCCUAGAGAAUAGGACGUCCCCCUUCGGGGGCAGAAUGACAAG
rnacentral:rRNA from 1 species